CCCGGGUGUCUGCACAAGUGUUGUGUGAGAUGCACAAUUAUAGAAAGAAGUGAAAGGUGUGAUGUUACAGUAAGAAUUGCUGGAUAUCAUCAUCAUUUGAUGGGGCUGAUGAAACUGCGAGUGCGGUCAAUCAUGUUGAACAUAAAGUA